AGUCAUUGCUGAAGAUUUUUAUUUUCUACAAUUUUCCUGCAAGCGUGCUGGAGCAGACUGCUGACACAGUAGAGGGAAACCGUGGGGCGCACGUGUGAUAAGGAUUCCCUCACUGUAUUUCUAUUGUUUUUUUUUUUAUUAAGCGCCGACAUUAAAACUUGUCCAUUUAAUGCAUUAAACCCCGGCUCUGUGUUUCUAUAGAAACCGGCCGGCUACAGCCGAGGAUUCCCAGGCUGACCUCACCAGCAUCUCCCUCGGUGGUGUCUCGCCCACUCUCAGUCACGUUGCUGUCUCUGUCUCACGGCUCCAGAUCCGACCUCCUCUGCUCUCACUGUUUACCCCUCAUCCCCUCCGCCACCCCCGCCUCCCUCUGUGCCCCUGGGUGUCUGAGGAUGAAGGGGGGCCCCCAGCCCAAAGGGCUCUCACAAGGCUGCCACGUGCAGAAAAACACCAUCGCCGCUGCAGGAGUGAUUUUUAUUUCCUUUCCUCCUCCGACAGUUCUUUGCCAUUUACUCGAUGCUGAAGGAAAGCUACUCCUUUAAAAUGCUCGGGGAUGGAUUACCAUUUAAAUAUUCCACCGGAGGAUUCCUGUACGUGUGUUAUAUGCGCAAUAAAAAGAGAAUCCCCUUGACUGUGUUUGACUUGCAAGUGUAAAAUCUGCACAUUUUGCAAGUGGGCUGUGUCUUAAUUGGCAGGGAGCAUCUGCAGAAAUCAGAGCACUCCUGCUCCUGGCGUGGCCCAGCACAGCAUCGCCACUUCUCCAGGCACCUUUCACUUGUCUUCCCCCUGCGGUCCUCUGACCCGGCAUGCUAGUCCCCUGCAUGCAGCAAUGGUUUUACCCCGCUGAGCAGAAGUCCCAGUCUCAUCAGCCUUUGUGCACAGCAGCCUGGUUUCUCCUGCCCACCUCUCGCUGUAAAUGAGGCAAGACCCCAGGCUGAAGCAGGGCAUGGAGCCACGUGUCCUCUGCACAAGGGGCACAGCCAAACCUGCAGCUCAGAGGCCAGCAGUUUCCAGGACCCACGUCACUCUUUAUUAUUGCCUUUCGCCAGAUGCCUUCUUCAUACUCCAAACCGUUCAGCUGCUUCUUUUAGGCUGACUUAUGUAGCCAAAGAUCAUUGCGGAGGGCAAAGCAAGGGGCAGCAUCCCCCUUUCAAACUAACUGACAGGAUUGUUGUCACUCGAGCUCAGGCACUCAGCCAGCCAUGGGGCCUGCCUGGGUUUUUUCCUCCAUCAGGAGAAGCAGAUGAAACAAAUCAGGUAUAUUUACAGAUGCAAAGUAGCAUAUUUCUGCAUAACACCCAUACACUCCUGUAUCCCCAAAAAUCAGCUAACAGCUCUCAGUCCCAUUUCCAGGGUUAUCCUGAAGCUUCUGCUGUGCUGGUAGCAGCAGGAAGGUUUGGGCUUUGAUUUCUGCUUCCAGAUUACAUUAGAAGACAGCAAGGAGUGUUGUUGUCUCUGAUGUAAAGGGAGGCUGCCUAUUGGAAACACCUGUCACUGCCUGAAGCCUUGACUAACACUGUGCUCAAUGUCACAGUUUCUCCAAAGCCACAGAGCCAUGUGGGGUUUGCCAAGCCUAUCUCCCUUACCUGGAUGCUCAGCAGGGACUUUGGCACAGCCAGCAGCUCAGAAGGGACCAAAUGUCUCAGAGCUUCCAUCACCUGCAUCACAGCAAGAUGCAUGUUGAGCCAGAGGAGCAACCCCACACACAGCUCCCUGCUGUGCAAGCCAAAUGCUACAGCACGAGGACGUGGGUGCAAUCCAUGCUGACCAGAGCACUGCAGAAACAUUGGGACUGCCCAGCCCCUCGGUGCUGAGCCACUGCCCAAGGGCCGGGGCACCUCCUUGGCUCUGCAUGGGGAAGAGCUCAUGACCUUUAAUUUUCCUUUAUGUCAAUGAUGUGAGGAGAUCAAU
ensembl:lncRNA